UACGUAGGUGGCAAGCGUUAUUCGGAAUUAUUGGGCGUAAAGGGCGCGUAGGCGGCUUGGCAAGUGGAUGGUGAAAUCCCUCGGCUUAACCGAGGAACUGCCGUCCAAACUGCUUCGCUUGAGACCGGGAGAGGUGAGUGGAAUUCCCAGUGUAGCGGUGAAAUGCGUAGAUAUUGGGAGGAACACCAGUGGCGAAGGCGGCUCACUGGACCGGUACUGACGCUGAUGCGCGAAAGCGUGGGGAGCAAACGGGG
rnacentral:rRNA from 1 species